GCAGACGGAGAGAGACGGGGUGAAAGGCUAUAUGCGGCCAGCUGAAGGGAGCUGAGUGACUGGCGGAGGAGGAGGCCAGAGAGCUGAGCUAGGGGAGCCACGGAUACCGCUAACCUGAUCCAUCUCCUGGAGACUGAUGAACGGAGGCAGGCGGGCGAUGAGCUGUUGUGACGGAAAUAACCCCAGCUGUAACCAGAGCUGCUAAUGAUGCUGCAGGAGCAAACAUGUUCAAGUCAAAACCAGGUUGGAAUCUCGGAUCUUCAGACGUCUCGUACGCCAAAAAGACAAGGACUCACUGCAGAGAAAGGUUUUGACAUUGUGUAUAAAAGAGAAGACCCAUUAUCCUCCCCU